rnacentral:rRNA from 1 species
GAUCCUGGCUCAGGAUGAACGCUAGCGACAGGCUUAACACAUGCAAGUCGAGGGGCAGCGGGGGUAGCAAUACCCGCCGGCGACCGGCGCACGGGUGAGUAACGCGUAUGCAACUUACCUAUCAGAGGGGGAUAACCCGGCGAAAGUCGGACUAAUACCGCAUGAAGCAGGGGCCCGCAUGGGGAGUAUUUGUCUAAAGAAUUCAUCGCUGAUAGAUAGGCAUGCGUUCCUAUUAGGCAGUUGGG